AGAUUCUAGCAUGAAUCUCAUUAUAUAAACAGUAUGUAAAGCUAAAAGUCAAACCACAAAUGCAGAAGAGCUUCCUUAUCUGAAGUUCAAUGGAUUUUGAGUAAGUAAGCUACACAGGUCUCAUUCUGCUGAAUAUCUGGAUAUCUGUGCUUGUUUGCAUCUUGAGGAAAGAACAACAGCUGGCAGCCUUUGGCAUUCUGAGAAUAUGUUUUUCACGUAGGUUCCCUCUAUCUGAUGUAACUUAUACUAGCAAAUAAACUUUUACAAAAUAAAGAAUGUGUUAAAUUAACUCUGAGGCAGAGAGAAACCGCUAUUUACUACCACUACAGAGUAUACUAAGUAUCAUUCAAUGACAAAAGACCAUGAGCCUUUUAAUUUCUGUAUCUGUUGCUUCUGGGCAAUCCGAUUUUCCUUCUGGAUAGGUAAUAUCUGUAGAUUCCACUACUCAAUAGAAGAAUAUUCACAGCCAGAUGCUGCCAUGUUUCCCUGUUUUUUUAGACAGUACAUUUUUUAGUACUACCAUGCUAGUGGAAUUUUUAGCAUUGAGAGUAAAAAUAAAAUCCUCCUUUAUACAUGAAUCAUUAUAAGAAUGUUGAUUACUUACAUUGUUUCAGACAUCUUGUUUAUUAUUUUCUGUAUAUUAUUUCCUCUGUCUUUCAUUGCAUACUGAAAUACGGAGAAGACUUCUGCCAGAAGAAAUGUUACUUCUUAAAAUUAAUUGAUGAAAAUUUCAUUUAAAAAGUGAAGUGUUGCCUAGUAGAUUUCCAUGUGAUCACCAUAGCCAUGCUGUCAGCAUUCUUCAGAUUUUUCUGCUGUUCUUUCUUGAUAGAGGAAUUCUUUCAAGUAAUGGUGACAAUCACAUGCUAAUAUUAGAAGUACAAAAGAAUAAAUAGAUAAAAAUUGUUCUUCCUUCAAGUGA